rnacentral:lncRNA from 10 species
GAGUGAGACCUUGUCUCAAAAAAUAAAUAAAUAGGCCAGGCACGGUGGCUCACGCCUGUAAUCCCAACACUUCGGGAGGCUGAGGCAGGUGGAUCACGAGGUCAGGAGUUCAAGACCAGCCUGGCCACAAUGGUGAAACCCUGUCUCUAUUAAAAAAAAAUACAAAAAUUAGCCAGGUGUGGUAGCACGUGCCUGUAAUCUCAGCUACUCUGGAAGCUGAGGCAGAGGAUUGCCUAAACCCAGGAGGCGAAGGUUGCAGUGAGCCAAGAUCGCACUACUGCACUCCAGCCUGGGCGACAGAGCGAGACUCUGUCUCAAUAAAUAAAUUUUUUUAAAAAGUAAAAUAAAAUAAUAAAAAUAGGCCAGGCACAGUGACUCAUGCUUCUGAUUUCAGCACUUUGGGAGGCCAAGGCAGGGAGAUUACUUGAGCUCAAGAGUUCGAGACCAGUCUGAGCAACAUGGCGAAAUCCCAUCUCUACAAAAAGUACAAAAUUAGCUGAGUGUGAUGCCAUGCACCUGUAGUCCCAGCUGCUUGGGGGUCUGAUGUGGGAGGAUUGCUUAAGCCUAGGAGGUCAAGCCUGCAGUGAGCUGUGAUUGUGCCACUGAACUCCAUGCUGGGUGACAAAGCAAGACCUUGUCUCAAAAAUAAAUAGAUAAUAAUUUCCCGGGUGCCUAAUGAUAAUAAUAAUUACAUAGAGACAGGGUCUUGCUAUGUCACCAAGGCUCUAUUUCACUGAGGCUCAUCUCAAACUCCUGGCCUCAAGCAGUCAUCUCGCCUUGGCCUCCCACAGUGCUAGGAUUCCAGGUGUGAGCCACCACACCUAGCCGGUACUUGAUUAUUAGUAAAAAUUAUAUCCUACCUUGCCACAUUAGAAGUCAUAUUUAGGAAUUGGUCACUGGGUCUGGGCAGAGUGGCUUGUGCCUGUAAUCCCAGUGCUUUGGGAGGCUGAAGUGGGAGGAUUGCUUUAGGCCAGGAGUUUGAGAUCAGCCUGGGUAACAUAACAAGACUCCAUCUCUACAAAAAAUUUAAAGAUUAACCUGAUAUGGGCCAGGCGCGGUGGCUCAUGACUGUAAUUCCAGCACUUUGAGAGGCCAAGGUGGGCGGAUCACCUGAGGUCAAGAGUUUGAGACUAGCCUGGCCAACAUGGUGAAACCCUCUGUCUAAAAAUACAAAACUUAGCCAGAUGUGGUGGCUCAUGUCUGUAGUCCCAGCUACUCGGGAGGCUGAGGCACGAGAAUCACUUGAACCUGGGAGGCGGAGGUUGCUGUGAGCUGAGAUCACACCACUGCACUGCAGCCUGGGCAACAGAGUGAGACUAAACAGAGUAAAAUAAAAUUAAAUAUAAACAUAAAUAUUAAUAUAAAAAGUAGCCUGAUAUGGUGGCAUGCACCUGUAGUCCUAGCUACUUGGGAGGUUGAACAGGAAGGUCUCUUGAACCCAGGAGUUCAAGGUUACAGCGAGCUAUGAUUGCACUGCUGCAUUCCAGCAUAGGCGACAGAGUAAGAACCUGUCUCUAAGAAAGAAAGGGGGAGAAAAAGAAUUAGUCACUGCACCCAAGGUGUUUCUGCACCUUAGUCUCUGCUUCUCUCGGCCUUCAUUACCAGCCCUAUCCUCAGUUUUCUGUUUCCGCUACCUCUUCCUAUUUGCAGGAGCUCACCUGGCUGUCUUUUUCUCUGGUCCUCCUUUGCAGAGGUGGUGCGGAGCUCCUGUUUGACGGUAUUAAGAAACAUCGAGUCACUUUGCCUGGACAGGAGGAACCCUGUGAGUAUUG